CGUCCCGACACGUCCCACAGCCUCAGAGCUCCUGGACUACAACUCCCGGCAUGCUCUGCCGCGGCCCUGCGCGGCCUGCAUCUUCCAACCGCGUGCCGUUCCUGGGGCCGCACCCUCUCGGGUCACAGACAAUGGAAUGAAGCCGACUGUCCACUGGAGACUUUUGUAGACCCAAAGACCGCUUGAGAAGGAAGUCGGAUAUUUUUGCAGCCUCAUCUCCAUGAGACAAAACUCUCUACGUCUCCAACCUACACAAACACUCGCUUCAUCCCGAAGGACUACACCUCCCAGCAUGCCGCACAAAGCUGCCCAUCCUCUCCUUCCGGACCCCUCUGAGACCCGGUACUACAGUUCCCAGGAGUAUGGUCCUUGCGAAAUGCUGGGAUUUGCAGUUCUCAGUUCUUCCUCCAUGUUAAGAAAAAGAAGUGAAAGAGAGGAAAGGGGGAAGGACUACUCCAGCCCACAGAGCUUGGGCCUAGAUGGGCUACAUCACCUGUAAUUCUGUACUCUCCUCCACAUCUCCGUUGUCGCUGUCUCUCCAGAACUAACACAGCAGCUGCCCCACUGUCUUCCCUGCAAAUUAGAGGACGAUUCUGCCACUUGAAUCCUCAUUCUUCUGCCUGCAUGCCAGCGGAGGGCACCAGAUCUCAUUCAAGGUGGUUGUGGGCCACCAUGUAGUUGCCAGGAAUUGAACUAGGACCUCUGGAAGAACAGUCAGUGCUCUUAACCGCUGAGCCAUCUCUCCAGCCCACCUUAUGUCUUAUUCUUCUCCUGGUGGUUUCUGAUCUGUGAGCCAGUUGCUCAUUGUGCACAAGAUAGGAUUUCCCUGUAAGAAGAUAAUAUAAAAUAAAAUGAAAGCCAAGAGUCGUGAUGCUUGUAUAUGCUUCUAGAAGUUGGAACGUGGAAACAAAAGAAUCAGAGUUCAAGGUUUGCGAACUUUCACUGAUGACUGAAAACUGAAGCUUUGAGAAGCUCUUGCACUUCGUGGCUGAGCCUCUGAAUCUUGGUUUUUGCAGACACAUUUCUCCCCAACAUGGACAAUCAUCCCACCCGCGAGUGAUCUCCAAUAUCCUAGCUAGCUUUGACCUAGAAGGUUGUCGGGACUCCCCUUAACUCAAAGAACAGUUUCAUGGAAGGGAAAUGCAGCCGUCACCGUGUGAGGUAUUUCUCCGAGGUGGACGUUCACAAUGACGAAAAUGACAGAGGACCCCCAGGGUAUCUAGACAACUGUUUUUGGUGAAGCUGGCGUCAGUGGGGAAAAGCUUUCCUUUGCCACCAUGUCCUUCAGGCUUUUCACUUUGACCGGCACUUAAUGUGGAGAUGCAGGACUAGAGACACCGUGGGAUCCUUCAGUUGUCCCACUUGGAACACCUGCUCAGCUUAGUCUAACUUAUUCUGUUUGGAUGCAUUAGAAAGGCUGUGGAGUGGUCGCCUUCAUUGUCGUGUGUCUCAGCAAGGGGCCUCAUAAAGAACACUGCAGCUACAGGGACAUCAUGGACACUGUCGCGGCCAUUUUCUUCCCAGGCAGGCAGUUUUUAAACUCCAAUAGCUGUAUCCUUGUGGUUUAAAGGGUUGCUCUUUC